rnacentral:ribozyme from 14 species
UUUUAAUUUUUUGAUCUUUUUUCAAUUUUUUAAUUUUUUAUAAUUAAAUUAAGAUUAUAAAAUUGAACGUUUUAAAAAGGGAAGAUACCACUUAGUACUCA